GAUGAACGCUGGCGGCGUGCCUAAUACAUGCAAGUCGAGCGAACAGAUAAGGAGCUUGCUCCUUUGACGUUAGCGGCGGACGGGUGAGUAACACGUGGGUAACCUACCUAUAAGACUGGGAUAACUUCGGGAAACCGGAGCUAAUACCGGAUAAUAUUUCGAACCGCAUGGUUCGAUAGUGAAAGAUGGUUUUGCUAUCACUUAUAGAUGGACCCGCGCCGUAUUAGCUAGUUGGUAAGGUAACGGCUUACCAAGGCGACGAUACGUAGCCGACCUGAGAGGGUGAUCGGCCACACUGGAACUGAGACACGGUCCAGACUCCUACGGGAGGCAGCAGUAGGGAAUCUUCCGCAAUGGGCGAAAGCCUGACGGAGCAACGCCGCGUGAGUGAUGAAGGUCUUCGGAUCGUAAAACUCUGUUAUUAGGGAAGAACAUACGUGUAAGUAACUGCGCACGUCUUGACGGUACCUAAUCAGAAAGCCACGGCUAACUACGUG
rnacentral:rRNA from 1 species